AUGCUGAUGGUGAAACGGUUAUCAUGUUUGCCUUCCACCGGAGAAGCUAAGCUUGUAAGCAAGCGGUAGGGGUUCGACUCCCCCUUCGGCAUA